AGUUAGGACUGCCAUGGACACAGACAUGUUGAAGAGCUAUGUGUGGACUGUUGCUGAAAUACUGUGGCUGGGUGUACUGUCAGCCAAAAAUAGGGAAAUCAAUCUUAGAGGCGGACUGGUUCACGUUUUCACUCAACAUGCUGUUUCAGGAUUUAUUCAGAUUUUCGGAAACACAGUCAUCUUAACUCAAAACUGUACUUGGAUCUGCUAAAGGCUGUUCUAUGGUCUGUGUGCUGGCCUGUGCUGGGCAGGAGAAGUUUUGAAGUUCUGGACGAUGACCUCCUGCACCAUCUUUAUAUUCUCUCUGUCAUAACACUAUUGAAUGCCUGAGCAACAAGGGGAAUCAUCUCUGUUUUCUGCUAAGAUCCCUAUUACUAGGACAGUAAACUAGGUAUCCCCUCUUGGAAAAAUGUACCGCCGUAAAGGUGAAUAACAGGUAAAAUUCAAUUUCCCUCUCCAGUCCAGGCAAAUGAAAUAAUAACACAAAGGGUCCACUACCUGUGUUACAUUUACACCAUCUUCCUCUGAUGA